AAGCAACACUCUGUCAGAUGAUCAAAACUGAAACAAUUUGAGCUUGCUAUAGCAAGAACUCAGGGGUACUCAAC
ensembl:snoRNA